rnacentral:rRNA from 1 species
GACGAACGCUGGCGGCGUGCCUAAUACAUGCAAGUUGAGCGCUGAAGGUUGGUACUUGUACCAACUGGAUGAGCAGCGAACGGGUGAGUAACGCGUAGGGAAUCUGCCUUUGAGCGGGGGACAACAUUUGGAAACGAAUGCUAAUACCGCAUAAAAACUUUAAACACAAGUUUUAAGUUUGAAAGAUGCAAUUGCAUCACUCAAAGAUGAUCCCGCGUUGUAUUAGCUAGUUGGUGAGGUAAAGGCUCACCAAGGCGAUGAUACAUAGCCGACCUGAGAGGGUGAUCGGCCACAUUGGGACUGAGACACGGCCCAAACUCCUACGGGAGGCAGCAGUAGGGAAUCUUCGGCAAUGGAAGAAAGUCUGACCGAGCAACGCCGCGUGAGUGAAGAAGGUUGUCGGAUCGUAAAACUCUGUUGGUAGAGAAGAACGUUGGUGAGAGUGGAAAGCUCAUCAAGUGACGGUAACUACCCAGAAAGGGACGGCUAACUACGUG